GGCCUGUGUGCAGGUGGGGCAUGGCUGUUGUCAGCUCGUGUCGUGAGAUGUUGGGUUAAGUUUCGCAACGAGCGCAACCCCUAUCUUAUGUUUCCAGCGCGUAAUGGCUGGGACUCGUGAGAGACUGCCGGGGUCAACUCUGAGGAAAGUGGGGAUGACGUCAAGUCAUCAUGCCCCCUAUGUCCAGGGGUUCACACAUGCUACAAUGGCCGGUACAAAAGGGUGUGAGGCCGCAAGGGUAAGCGAAUCCUUUUAAAACCGGUCUCAGUUCGGAUCGGGGUUUGCAAC
rnacentral:rRNA from 1 species